CCCAUGUGAAGCUGCAGUUAAUACGCCAACCACACAUCCAGCGCAAUGGUACAGUGGGACAGGGAUGCAAAUCGUUUGGAACUGAAUUCAACAUAAUCUUGUUCCAGUUAACAAGUUUUUCUGAUGCCUAAAUAUGGGAAAAAGAGAUUUAUUUGCAAGGAAAGCAGAAACAAGGACGGGCCGCAUCCUGGAUCAAAAAACAUUUUCCGAUUUUAUUGGUUCGGGAGGGACCAAGUAGGGUUUCGUCAUAAUAUAUAAAAAAUCCUUGGGAACAAUUUAACGUGACAAUAUGACAAACCAGAAAAUUCUUUGUACCU